rnacentral:rRNA from 1 species
GAUGAACGCUGGCGGCGUGCCUAAUACAUGCCAGUCGAGCGAACAGACGAGGAGCUUGCUCCUCUGACGUUAGCGGCGGACGGGUGAGUAACACGUGGAUAACCUACCUAUAAGACUGGGAUAACUUCGGGAAACCGGAGCUAAUACCGGAUAAUAUAUUGAACCGCAUGGUUCAAUAGUGAAAGACGGUUUUGCUGUCACUUAUAGAUGGAUCCGCGCCGCAUUAGCUAGUUGGUAAGGUAACGGCUUACCAAGGCGACGAUGCGUAGCCGACCUGAGAGGGUGAUCGGCCACACUGGAACUGAGACACGGUCCAGACUCCUACGGGAGGCAGCAGUAGGGAAUCUUCCGCAAUGGGCGAAAGCCUGACGGAGCAACGCCGCGUGAGUGAUGAAGGUCUUCGGAUCGUAAAACUCUGUUAUUAGGGAAGAACAAAUGUGUAAGCAACUAUGCACGUCUUGACGGUACCUAAUCAGAAAGCCACGGCUAACUACGUG